UACGGGGGGAGCAAGCGUUGUUCGGAAUUACUGGGCGUAAAGCGCGCGUAGGCGGCUUUGUAAGUUAGAGGUGAAAGCCCGAAGCUCAACUUCGGAAUUGCCUUUAAGACUGCAUCGCUAGAAUCGUGGAGAGGUGAGUGGAAUUCCGAGUGUAGAGGUGAAAUUCGUAGAUAUUCGGAAGAACACCAGUGGCGAAGGCGACUCACUGGACACGUAUUGACGCUGAGGUGCGAAAGCGUGGGGAGCAAACAGG
rnacentral:rRNA from 1 species